rnacentral:rRNA from 1 species
GAACUAAAGAGUUUGAUCCUGGCUCAGAUUGAACGCUGGCGGCAUGCUUUACACAUGCAAGUCGAACGGUAACAGGCCGCAAGGUGCUGACGAGUGGCGAACGGGUGAGUAAUGUAUCGGAACGUGCCCAGUCGUGGGGGAUAACGCAGCGAAAGCUGCGCUAAUACCGCAUACGAUCUAUGGAUGAAAGCGGGGGACCGUAAGGCCUCGCGCGAUUGGAGCGGCCGAUAUCAGAUUAGGUAGUUGGUGGGGUAAAGGCUCACCAAGCCAACGAUCUGUAGCUGGUCUGAGAGGACGACCAGCCACACUGGGACUGAGACACGGCCCAGACUCCUACGGGAGGCAGCAGUGGGGAAUUUUGGACAAUG